AUUCACCUAUUAUAAAAAGUGAUCGGGUUCAGGUCGGUACUUUUUAUAAUAUGUGAAUUUUUUUGUUCCUCCAAAAAAGUUCCAUAUUAAAAUUAUUUCUUUUAAGUUGGGGGUAAAAUCAACAUGAAACAAGGUACAGUGAAAUGGUUCAACGCGGAAAAGGGAUUCGGCUUCAUCGAAGUCGAAGGCGAGGACGACGUAUUCGUACACUUCUCCGCCAUCCAGGGCGAAGGCUUCAAGACGCUUGACGAAGGCCAGCAAGUUGAGUUCGAAGUUGUCGAAGGCAACCGCGGACCACAGGCUGCAAACGUCGUCAAGCUCUGAUCGGCGGGUUCAUACGGGAGGCUUCCGGAUUUUCCGGAAGCCUCUUU
rnacentral:sRNA from 1 species